GGGCUCGUGGUUCAGUGGUAGAAUGCUCGCUUAGCACCAAACGUGCGAGAGAUCCGGGGUUCGAUUCCCCGCGAGUCCA
rnacentral:tRNA from 1 species